AUUUGUUUCAAGCGACAGCUGCACUUUCAGCGCACCAACACACACAUGCACACACACACACACAAACACGCAGGAACUCACAUUUCGACGCGUCGCACGUCGUUUCAGCGGUUGCUUUACUCACUGUUUAUUGCCUUGUUGCGUUACGUUUCGCGUUCUCUCUAUUUUCUCUUUCACUUUUGCCUACUCCACUAUCCACUUGCUUCGUGGUCUUCGCGUUGUCUGUGUGUUUGGGUUUGACUUUUAACGAUUUUAACGGUAGCACCUCUAUAGUUUUCGAUUUAUUGUCAACGCGUACUCGCAUUCAGUAUAUUUUCAGUAUAUAUUCAGUAUAUAUAUACACAUAAUGGAAGAAAAAAAAGGGUAUGAACAGCAGGCAAAACGGCCCUGAAAAUGCAACCGCAUGCAAGCUGAAAUCCACUUUUGCUUAAUACUUUCAUCACACGCGAACCUCGACAUUUGUCUUGGCUGUUUUUGCCCCUUGUCCUUACCCUUUUUUAUAGCCCAUUUUAAAUUACGACUCAAUUUUUCGUCGCAAGAAAGAGUGAACGAUUUAUCAAUAUGACACAUUAAAAUUAUUAGACGAAUAAUUCAUCAACCCCUUUUGUUACCUACAUGGAAUUUUUGCUUAUAAAAACGAGAAAAAAGAGGAUAAAAGGAUAAAGUCACCCUUUUGACUUCAAGAAGAGAGCAGAAGUCUGACCGUCUGAUAAAAAAACGUACUUAGCCCACUUAAACCCCCUUUAUUUAAACUGAUAAUAACUUGAACUAGACAAAAAAUAAUAUUUACUCUUGCAGGUUCUUCAUCUUUAUAUAAAAAAAGACCACGAUAUUUUUCACCUAAAGUGCUAUAAAUAUAUUUAAUCACGAAUCAUGCUGACUUAAUUCGACUUAAGAUUAGCUAAGACCUUCAGUCCUCAAAACAUAAUUUUAUCCGAUAGAUGAAUAAAUUUUCUAGAAGAUUAGCUAGCUUUAAAUGCAUAAUUUAAUUUUAUUGUGCCUAAAAUAAGGUUUGAGCAAAGAAGGUCAGAAAUAAAACGUAAUGAAAUGGA